GACCCCGUAGCUCAGUGGUAGAGCGUGAGAUUCCAGCAAGCAUGGAAUUUCCUCAAGGUCAUCCGUUCAAUCCGGGUCGGGGUCA
rnacentral:tRNA from 1 species